GACAGAGGAUGCAAGCGUUACCCGGAAUGAUUGGGCGUAAAGCGUCUGUAGGUGGCUUUUUAAGUCCGCCGUCAAAUCCCAGGGCUCAACCCUGGACAGGCGGUGGAAACUACCAAGCUGGAGUACGGUAGGGGCAGAGGGAAUUCCCGGUGUAGCGGUGAAAUGCGCAGAUAUCGGGAAGAACACCCGUGGCGAAGGCGGUUCUGCUGGGACGGUACUGACGCUGAGACGCGAAAGCGUGGGGAGCGAACAGG
rnacentral:rRNA from 1 species